CCCCCCGGGUUUUCUUCCGGGGGGCCCUUUUUUUUCCCCCCCCAAACCUUUGGGGGGGGGGGGUUUCCCUUAAAUUUUUUUUUUUUUGGGUCCCCCCCCCCCCCCCCCCCCCCCCCCCCCCGCCAAGAGAAUCUCCAAAAGCAAGCAGGACUAAGGCUUUUUAGAGUUAGGAAAAUUGCCUUAAUAAUGACCACAGUGUGCUAGGAAAAGAGAAAGAAACAUGGUUAGAUCUACAAAGAUGAUAUGAUUCCACAGUGGUGAGCAGAUAUUUAGUUACAGCCAUGCUCUGCCUCAGCUUUUCCUCGCUAAUUUAAAGCAAAAUUCUAUUUUUCAGUUCUUACGCUACCAGUGGCUGGUGAGAUGUUGGGUAUUUAUAAAAAGAGAAGGACUCUCAUUAAAGAUAAUUACUAGAUAUUUGCAAACUUAGCACCAAUUUUUUUUCCUAUUAAGACUAAUAAUGCAAUGAAUAUAUCCUUACAAAAAGCUUUUCUUUUAAGCUGAAUUAUUUCCUUGAAAUAGUCCUAGGGUCAAUAUUUUUGGUUCAAGAAGUAGGAAGAAGUUUCUAUUGCUCCUACAUAUAUGUAGAGAGAGAUCACCUUACAUUGCUUUCUGAAAGAGUUGUACCAUAUGACAGUACCACCAAUACCAUCUGAGCUUAUUCAUUUUUCUAGGUUACCAGCACUGGCAUUACCAGUUGGUGUUACAUGGUAUCCCAGUUGCAAGGCAAAUGCAGAGGAUUGGGGGUGGAUGUAAAAAACCCUGGAGGUUGGCAGAACCACGGAAUAGAAGCCCAGUUCCCUAAUUACCAUGGAGAAGACCAACCUGCCAAUACUCUGUUGGAUCAUGACAUGCAGGAAAUAAAAUUUUUAUUGUGUCAACCCACUGAGAUUUGGAGAUUGUUUGGUAGCAGCAAGUAACUUGCUCUCAUGUACUGGAGAGACUUCCCACUGUCCAAGCUGAAGACUUAAGUUUAAUUAAAGACUCUAUUAGCCAGGAUCCUCCUGAGAAACAAAACCAAUAGAACAUAUAUAGGAAGAAUGAGAUUUAAGGAAUUGGUUGACACAAUUGUAGGGGUUAGCAAGUCCAAAAUCUGUAGGGCAGGCCAGCAAGUUGGAAAUUCAGGUAAUAGUUGAUACUGC
rnacentral:lncRNA from 12 species